UGUCGUUGAGAGACGAUUCUCGCACUGCGCCCACUGACGGUGGUGCCCGAAUCCGCCACUACAACCGCGAGUCUCUACUGGUUUGAUCCGGAUUUGCCUGGGUGCCGCGGAUGAACUUAACUCGACGUCCAGUCUGCACCUGACGCCAGCUAGCGCUUCAGCCGCAGCCUAGAUUUGUAUAUGGGUCAUUCUAUAAUUUGGGCGCGUCCAAUUGGCCAAUUUGCAUCACGCAUUCUCUCUGCCAUUGCCGAUCUCUGCCCUGACCGAGGAGAUCGAAGCUAACCCACAUCCCCUCCGACACGUGAGCAGCAAGCCGUAUGCACCUUGCCACCCACACAUUGACGAGUGUGGCGCCACCUAGCGUUGCGUGCGGAGAGACACACCCUAAGAGCACUCCUUCCUCAUCUCCAUCGCGUCCAACUGCCCAAUUGCAUCAUGCUUCCUCUCCACCAAUGCCGAUCACUGCUCUGAUUGAGGAGAACGAAGCUAACCCACGCCCCUUCUGACACGUGGGCAGCAUGCCAUAUGCAUCUUACCACCUACACUUUGACGAGUGCAGUGCAGCUCAGCGUUGUGUACGGAGAGACACACCCUGAGAGCACUCUUUUCUCAUCUCUGUGCAGGCGCCAUCAAUCAGCCAGCAGAGGUCGUAAUUGCACCAGUCAUGGGAGAGAGACCCCAUCCGGCUUAGUCCCGCCCAUAUUAAACCACAGGCCAAUUGUUGUUCAUGUGGCCGCUCAGCCUUAGCCGGCAGGCAGAGCUGAGAUUCGAUACGAUGUAUUUGAGAUCCCUGCUCUGGUUUCAGCGUGUGUUUUUACCGCUGCGCCACCUGAGCGGCCUCAAAUUAAAUUUUUUUAAUUUAUGUUCCCCCCUUAGUGUUACUGAGACGAGAAUGAUGGACUGGGUGAACUAAUGGAUUGGAUACUUGGUGUAGGUGGUGCUGAUGGUGUUGGGCAGUGCGUAUAGUAAAAAAGUGGUGUUUUAGGACUAGGCAUUUGCACCCUGAAUUAUGAUGUGGGACAGGCUAGGCGAGACAGUAUCAAUUAGGAUGAUGCUAUGCAAUGGAACACUCAUCUGUGUCACAAGUUACAGCCAGUAACUGAUGCUUGCUAAAGAACAACAAUCACUGCAUUAGAGAACAAUCUGAGUUCCACUGCAGCAGAACGUGACCACAGUUUGACUGGAUUGUCUCCUUCCAUAGGGUUUUCAGUGGAUCCAGUGGAUUGUUCUCAUGCAGAUGUAAGGUGCAUUCCAAUCACCCCAGUAGUUCCCUGUGACGUGGACUAGAGACAGUUUAAGACAUUUUAAAAAAGCUAAUGCUAAUCUUAGAUGACAUGCUUUCUCUUAAAACGUGUUCAGCCUUCUGGCUUCAGCAUCACAGACAAGAAGAGACUGGAGGCCAUCUAUCAGCCCAACCAGCAUUAAAAUAAUUUACAUCACAUCUGCUUUUGAUCAAGUGUGUAUAUACAUUUAAUAAAGCUAAUUGAAAUACA